AUUGAACGCUGGCGGCAGGCCUAACACAUGCAAGUCGAGCGGCAGCGGGAAAGUAGCUUGCUACUUUUGCCGGCGAGCGGCGGACGGGUGAGUAAUGCCUGGGGAUCUGCCCAGUCGAGGGGGAUAACAGUUGGAAACGACUGCUAAUACCGCAUACGCCCUACGGGGGAAAGCAGGGGACCUUCGGGCCUUGCGCGAUUGGAUGAACCCAGGUGGGAUUAGCUAGUUGGUGAGGUAACGGCUCACCAAGGCGACGAUCCCUAGCUGGUCUGAGUGGAUGAUCUGCCACACUUGAACUCAGACACGGUCCAGACUCCUACGGGAGGCAGCAGUGGGGAAUAUUGCACAAUGGGGGAAACCCUGAUGCAGCCAUGCAGCGUGUGUGAAGAAGGCCUUCGGGUUGUAAAGCACUUUCAGCGAGGAGGAAAGGUUGAUGCCUAAUACGUAUCAACUGUGACGUUACUCGAAGAAGAAGCACCGGCUAACUCCGUGCCAGCCGCCGCGGUAAGAC
rnacentral:rRNA from 1 species